rnacentral:rRNA from 1 species
AAUCAACGCUGGCGGCGUGCCUCAGACAUGCAAGUCGAACGCGAAAGUCCCCUUCGGGGGACAAGUAGAGUGGCGCACGGGUGAGUAACACGUAGGUAAUCUACCUUCGGAUGGGGAAUAACAAUCGGAAACGGUUGCUAAUACCGCAUAAUGCAGCGGCACCUAAUGGUGACAGUUGUUAAAGCGGGGGGAUCGAAAGACCUCGCGUCUGAAGAGGAGCCUGCGGCGGAUAGCUAGUUGGUAAGGUAACGGCUUACCAAGGCGACGAUCCGUAGCCGGCCUGAGAGGGCGGUCGGCCACACUGACACUGACAUACGGGUCAGACUCCUACGGGAGGCAGCAGUCGGGAAUUUUGGGCAAUGGGCGAAAGCCUGACCCAGCAACGCCGCGUGAAGGAUGAAAUCCCUCGGGA